rnacentral:rRNA from 1 species
AUUGAACGCUGGCGGCAGGCCUAACACAUGCAAGUCGAGCGAGCGGCGGACGGGUGAGUAAUGUAUGGGGACUGCCCGAUAGAGGGGGAUAACUACUGGAAACGGUAGCUAAUACCGCAUACUAUCGGAUAACCCAUAUGGGAUUAGUUAGUAGGUGGGGGAAUGGCUCACCUAGGCGACGAUCCCUAGCUGGUCUGAGAGGAUGAUCAGCCACACUGGAACUGAGACACGGGCCAGACUCCUACGGGGGCAGCAGUGGGGAAUAUUGAACAAUGGGCGCAAGCCGGAUGCAGCCAUGCCGCGUGUAUGAAGAAGGCCUUAGGGUUGUAAAGUACUUUCAGCGGGGAGGCGUUACCGGCAGAAGAAGCACCGGCUAACUCCGUGCCAGCAGCCGCGGUAAUAC